GGCCAGGUAGCUCAGUCGGUACGAGCGUCCGCCUGAAAAGCGGAAGGUCGGCGGUUCGACCCCGCCCCUGGCCACCC
rnacentral:tRNA from 1 species